rnacentral:rRNA from 1 species
UACGGAGGGUGCAAGCGUUAAUCGGAAUUACUGGGCGUAAAGCGCGCGUAGGCGGCUGGAUAAGUCGAUUGUGAAAGCCUUGGGCUCAACCUGAGAAUUGCAGUCGAGACUGUUCGGCUAGAGUGUGGGAGAGGGUGGUGGAAUUCCCGGUGUAGCGGUGAAAUGCGUAGAUAUCGGGAGGAACAUCAGUGGCUAAGGCGACCACCUGGCUCAACACUGACGCUGAGGUGCGAAAGCGUGGGUAGCAAACAGG